CGGCAUUCCUGCGACCCGGUCGCAGCAAACAAAAGGUGCCCAAAACGUUUGGUGCGACCCAUGACGUCACGUCCGCUAUAACCAAUGAUGUCACGUCCGUUUAUUUUCAUGGCGGCUGUUUUUCGGGGCCGGUCGCGUUGUGAAGCGGUCCGUAUUCCGUGCCUUCUUACAGAACUGAACAUCCCACGUCUUGGUUUGACUUCCUGGUACAGGAUACUUGCAGUUGGCAUGGAGUGGUGAAGCAGCAUGGUGUACUUUUAUUAAAAGCACAGAUUUCACCAGUAUAGAAGCAGUUCAUCAAAAAAAAACAUGUGUGCUGAAAAUAAAGUGUUCCUACCCACA